rnacentral:rRNA from 1 species
UACGUAGGGGCCGAGCGUUGUCCGGAAUUAUUGGGCGUAAAGAGCUCGUAGGCGGUUUGUCGCGUCUGCUGUGAAAACCUAAGGCUCAACCUUGGGCUUGCAGUGGGUACGGGCAGACUAGAGUGCGGUAGGGGUGACUGGAAUUCCUGGUGUAGCGGUGAAAUGCGCAGAUAUCAGGAGGAACACCAAUGGCGAAGGCAGCUCGCUGGAACGGUACUGA